CACGAAGGGAGGACAGCAAAGUCCCUCGAGUCAGUCGAAUGACUCGGGAGCCAAAACAGGAGAGGGACCGGGUAGCGUGAGAUGCUCCAAGAAAAGCUAGGCUAGGGUUCCUACAGUAGGAAAAGUGGAUCUCGCCCGAACAAACCUAUUGAAGCUCAAAGUGAGCACGCAAUACGACCAUCGCAGAAUUUGUUGUUCGAGCUUGAAAAACCCACCACAUCAGGGGAAAUGCAGGUCGAUUGAAAGCAAGAUAGAGAGUAAGACCAAACUCAUCCGCGC
rnacentral:lncRNA from 1 species